rnacentral:rRNA from 1 species
GAUGAACGCUGGCGGCGUGCCUAAUACAUGCAAGUCGAGCGAACAGACGAGGAGCUUGCUCCUCUGACGUUAGCGGCGGACGGGUGAGUAACACGUGGAUAACCUACCUAUAAGACUGGGAUAACUUCGGGAAACCGGAGCUAAUACUGGAUAAUAUAUUGAACCGCAUGGUUCAAUAGUGAAAGACGGUUUUGCUGUCACUUAUAGAUGGAUCCGCGCCGCAUUAGCUAGUUGGUAAGGUGACGGCUUACCAAGGCAACGAUGCGUAGCCGACCUGAGAGGGUGAUCGGCCACACUGGAACUGAGACACGGUCCAGACUCCUACGGGAGGCAGCAGUAGGGAAUCUUCCGCAAUGGGCGAAAGCCUGACGGAGCAACGCCGCGUGAGUGAUGAAGGUCUUCGGAUCGUAAAACUCUGUUAUUAGGGAAGAACAAAUGUGUAAGUAACUAUGCACGUCUUGACGGUACCUAAUCAGAAAGCCACGGCUAACUACGUG